GGAUACGAAGCUCCCCCCAUAAUUAUCUGUAUGGAGAUUAUAUCAGCAUCGGCAGUUGACAUCAUUUUCGAUAAUUCGAUCCCUUCUCCGGAAGAUGAUGGAAAGGAUUGGAUGAAGUGGCUGGCUCAUGUCAGGGUGGGCUUUUGGUUUGAGCGACACCAGACACGUCGCCUCUCCCACGCUUCCCGCCCGUUGUUGCCAGUGUCCCUGUCGCCAGUUCGGAUUUAUACAGCUCCGGCCAUGCACCAACGGCUGCCGAAAUUACAAACCUUGCCAAGAAAGUAUAUUUCAAGAUAUAUUCUACGUGUCUCGUCUCGAAUAAUCAUACUCUUAAGUCAUACCAGGCAUCAUCAUCUACGUGCUUAAAAGGGAUGAAAAACAAGAUGAGGAAAUAUUCCUUUAUCGCUAUGCUUCUCGGGGUCACAGUAUUAUGGACUUAAAUUGGUUUUUUA